rnacentral:rRNA from 1 species
GGGGGGGGGGGGGGGGGGGCGGGGGAGGGGGGGGUCGAGCGGAAGGGCCGGGCUUUGGUGGGGUGCUCGGGUGGCGAACGGGUGGGUAACCCGUGAGUGACCUGCCCUUGACUUUGGGAUAACUUCAGGGAACUGGGGCUAAUACCGGCUAGGAGCUCCUGCUGCAUGGUGGGGGUUGGAAAGUUUCGGCGGUUGGGGAUGGACUCGCGGCUUAUCAGCUUGUUGGUGGGGUAGUGGCUUGCCAAGGCUUUGACGGGUAGCCGGCCUGAGAGGGUGACCGGCCACAUUGGGACUGAGAUACGGCCCAGACUCCUACGGGAGGCAGCAGUGGGGAAUAUUGCACAAUGGGCGGAAGCCUGAUGCAGCAACGCCGCGUGCGGGAUGACGGCCUUCGGGUUGUAAACCGCUUUCGCCUGUGACGAAGCGUGAGUGACGGUAAUGGGUAAAGAAGCACCGGCUAACUACGUG